ACGCUCGACACCUACGGAGGCAGCAGUAGGGAAUCUUCCACAAUGGACGCAAGUCUGAUGGAGCAACGCCGCGUGAGUGAAGAAGGUCUUCGGAUCGUAAAAACUCUGUUGUUAGAGAAGAACACGAGUGAGAGUAACUGUUCAUUCGAUGACGGUAUCUAACCAGCAAGUCACGGCUAACUACGUGCCCGCAGCGCGGUAAUCUGAGCGGGCUGGCAAGGC
rnacentral:rRNA from 1 species